CAAAGUUUUCACAUGGUUGAAAAGAUAAACUUGACAUCUUCCAGAGUGCCUCAGCUCGGUCUCAUUGUGAAGGAAAGAGUGUUUGACACAUAUCUAGGCCAGACACCUCUUAUAGGUUUACCAGUGAGGGGGUGGGGUGGGUUCAGAUGGAGCGCUUGUCUACGUCUGGCUCUCUUCCUGAUGAUGACUCAUCAGACUCACAAGGGGGUUGGGGGCUUUCCUCAGCUUACCACGUGAUUGUUGUUUUGCUUCUCUCUCCCUUCUACAGGCCUUUUACAGCUCCACGCCAAUUUUCCCCGUUUCUUUCUGCUCUUAUCGCUGUGUUUAUCUCUCUGUCACAGCUUUGAGGCUGGAGCAUAUCAAAGUCUGCCCUUAUAAGGCCUGUUUGUGACAAUGGGUCUGCUGCUGACAGCCCCAGUCAGGACCGGGCCCUCCUGGGGCGUUGAGCUGUGGGUGAUUCCUGGCGCUCCCGCUCACCGACAGGCACAGGCAAACAGGACGUAGAUUUUCAGUUGCAGGGAUGUUUAGUCUGCUACGGUCUGAAGGAAGAAGCUUGUUAAAGGAAAAACCCUAGCUCCUCAGGAUAGAUCUGUGUGUCAUGAUCCUCCUGCUGAGGUCAGUGCUCCUCCUAAAUUAACCAUCUUUGAGGUUCUGUGUCCCACAGGUGAGGAGCAGAGCGUCACCAGGUGUGCUGAAUCAAUCAUUAGGAGCUCGGGUUUAAAAGGAGGAUGGAGACACCACUCGAAGCCGGAUGAUCACUCCAGUAUUGGAUUACCACCACAACCUUCACCGAUUCUGCUAAUAACCACGGAUCUUCAUACACGUCCCAUCCUCCUCCACCGCUCCUGCAUCUCCCCUCUCUGCUUCCUCACCUCCCGUCCGGCUGGAUCGCCACACUCGUCACCUUGGCACCCCGCUUGUCCUGCAGCUCGCUGAGCUCAGAACUCUGAACGAUCGCCCACGGCAUCAUGUACUGGAUUUCAGUGCUCCUUUAAUUCCCGUUUGUUUAAUAAAAGACGUUUAAUUUCUUA